CUGCUGGCCGCCGUCGGCGCGCUGGCGCUGCUGCUGCUGCGAUUGCACCUCACCGCCGUGCACGCCCGCGCCCAGCUAUACAUGAAGCGAGGCGAGUGGGCGCGCGUGGUGUGCGGCGCAGGAGCGGCAGUGGGCGCGGGACUGGCUGGCGGACUCGGCGCCAGUGCGGCGAUGGGCGCGCUGCUGCACGAGCUCGGGGCCCGCCUCGCCUUCUACUCUCGCCCGUGGUUGCUGGUCCCUUUGUACGCGCUACCAGCGGUGUGCGGCUGCUGGGGCUCGGCGCGCUGGACGUGGGCGCGGGCUGUGGGCGCGCGCGGGGCGGCG